AGAGUUUGAUCCUGGCUCAGGACGAACGCUGGCGGCGUGCCUAACACAUGCAAGUCGAACGAAGCUUGACGAAUGAUUUCUUCGGAAUGAAAUCUGAUAUGACUGAGUGGCGGACGGGUGAGUAACGCGUGAGCAACCUGCCCUUCGGAACGGGAUAGUGUCUGGAAACGGACAGUAAUACCGUAUAACGUAUUUUUACCGCAUGAUAGAAAUACCAAAACUGAGGUGCCGAAGGAUGGGCUCGCGUCUGAUUAGAUAGUUGGUGGGGUAACGGCCUACCAAGUCGACGAUCAGUAGCCGGACUGAGAGGUUGAACGGCCACAUUGGGACUGAGACACGGCCCAGACUCCUACGGGAGGCAGCAGUGGGGAAUAUUGCACAAUGGGGGAAACCCUGAUGCAGCAACGCCGCGUGAAGGAAGACGGUUUUCGGAUUGUAAACUUCUGUUCUUAGUGAAGAAUAAUGACGGUAGCUAAGGAGCAAGCCACGGCUAACUACGUGCCAGCAGCCGCGGU
rnacentral:rRNA from 1 species